rnacentral:rRNA from 1 species
UGAGGAAUAUUGGUCAAUGGGCGGAAGUCUGACCCAGCCAUGCCGCGUGCAGGAAGACUGCCCUAUGGGUUGUAAACUGCUUUUAUACAGGAAGAAACCCACUUACGUGUAGGUGGCUGACGGUACUGUAAGAAUAAGCACCGGCUAACUCCGUGCCAGCAGCCGCGGUAAGACGUAGGAUGCAAGCGUUAUCCGGAAUUAUUGGGCGUAAAGAGUUCGUAGGCGGUUUGUUAAGUUGGAUGUUAAAGUUUUGAGCUCAACUCAAAAGAUGUAUCCAAAACUGAUAAACUAGAGACAGGUAGAGGCAAGUGGAAUUCUGCAUGUAGGGGUAAUAUCCGUAGAUAUGCAGAGGAACACCAAAAGCGAAGGCAGCUUGCUGGACCUGUUCUGACGCUCAAGAACGAAAGCAUGGGGAGCGAACGGGAUUAGAUACCCCGGUAGUCCAUGCCCUAAACUUUGAACACUAGGUGUUGGUGGCUUCGACCCCUUCAGUGCCGACGCAAACGCAUUAAGUGUUCCGCCUGGGUAGUACGAGCGCAAGCUUAAAACUCAAAGGAAUUGACGG